ensembl:snRNA
GUGUUUAUGAAAAGAGAGGUUAGUACUCUCCUUGCCAAGGAUGGAGGGGUCUUUGGUCCUUACAAUACACAUAUGUUUAAGGUAUCGCUACCUUCUUUGUGGCAUCUAAUUCUAGUUUUUA